AGUGAACGCUGGCGGUGUGCCUAAUACAUGCAAGUCGAACGAACGCACAGUAAGCGCGCGCCUUUACGGGUGGCGAGUGGCGGGUGGGUAAGGCGUACAUCGGCAUCUACUUUUUCGUGGGGGAUAUCGUAGGGAAACUUACGAUAAUGGAGAAUACUACGUACGGCUGAAAUCAAGGGUUCUUCGGACCUUGCGCGACUCAUUGAGCCGAUGCCGGAUUAGCUAGUUGGCGGGGUAAAGGCCCACCAAGGCAACGAUCCGUAGCUGAUCUGAGAGGAUGAUCAGCCACACUGGAACUGAGACACGGUCCAGACUCCUACGGGAGGCAGCAGUGGGGAAUAUUGGGCAAUGGGCGCAAGCCUGAUCGAGCCAUGCCGCGUGGGUGAAGAAGGUCUUCGGGUCGUAAAGCCCUGUUAUUAGGAAAGAAAAGCAGUAGAUGUAUACCCCGCCGUUCUGACGGUACCCAAAGAGAAAGCACCGGCUAACUUCGUG
rnacentral:rRNA from 1 species